GAUCAUGGCUCAGGAUGAACGCUAGCUACAGGCUUAACGCAUGCAAGUCGAGGGGCAGCAUUUCAGUUUGCUUGCAAACUGGAGAUGGCGACCGGCGCACGGGUGAGUAACACGUAUCCAACCUGCCGAUAACUCGGGGAUAGCCUUUCGAAAGAAAGAUUAAUACCCGAUGGUAUAAUUAGACCGCAUGGUCUUGUUAUUAAGAUAGUU
rnacentral:rRNA from 1 species